GACGAACGCCGUCGGCGUGCUUAACACAUGCAAGUCGAACGGAAAGGCCCUGCUUUUGUGGGGUGCUCGAGUGGCGAACGGGUGAGUAACACGUGAGUAACCUGCCCUUGACUUUGGGAUAACUUCAGGAAACUGGGGCUAAUACCGGAUAGGAGCUCCUGCUGCAUGGUGGGGGUUGGAAAGUUUCGGCGGUUGGGGAUGGACUCGCGGCUUAUCAGCUUGUUGGUGGGGUAGUGGCUUACCAAGGCUUUGACGGGUAGCCGGCCUGAGAGGGUGACCGGCCACAUUGGGACUGAGAUACGGCCCAGACUCCUACGGGAGGCAGCAGUGGGGAAUAUUGCACAAUGGGCGGAAGCCUGAUGCAGCAACGCCGCGUGCGGGAUGACGGCCUUCGGGUUGUAAACCGCUUUCGCCUGUGACGAAGCGUGAGUGACGGUAAUGGGUAAAGAAGCACCGGCUAACUACGUGCCAGCAGCCGCGGUGAUACGUAGGGUGCGAGCGUUGUCCGGAUUUAUUGGGCGUAAAGGGCUCGUAGGUGGUUGAUCGCGUCGGAAGUGUAAUCUUGGGGCUUAACCCUGAGCGUGCUUUCGAUACGGGUUGACUUGAGGAAGGUAGGGGAGAAUGGAAUUCCUGGUGGAGCGGUGGAAUGCGCAGAUAUCAGGAGGAACACCAGUGGCGAAGGCGGUUCUCUGGGCCCUUCCUGACGCUGAGGAGCGAAAGCGUGGGGAGCGAACAGGCUUAGAUACCCUGGUAGUCCACGCUGUAAACGGUGGGUACUAGGUGUGGGGUCCAUUCCACGGGUUCCGUGCCGUAGCUAACGCUUUAAGUACCCCGCCUGGGGAGUACGGCCGCAAGGCUAAAACUCAAAGGAAUUGACGGGGCCCCGCACAAGCGGCGGAGCAUGCGGAUUAAUUCGAUGCAACGCGUAGAACCUUACCUGGGUUUGACAUGGAUCGGGAGUGCUCAGAGAUGGGUGUGCCUCUUUUGGGGUCGGUUCACAGGUGGUGCAUGCCUGUCGUCAGCUCGUGUCGUGAGAUGUUGGGUUAAGUCCCGCAACGAGCGCAACCCUUGUUCACUGUUGCCAGCACGUUAUGGUGGGGACUCAGUGGAGACCGCCGGGGUCAACUCGGAGGAAGGUGGGGAUGACGUCAAGUCCUCAUGCCCCUUAUGUCCAGGGCUUCACGCAUGCUACAAUGGCUGGUACAGAGAGUGGCGAGCCUGUGAGGGUGAGCGAAUCUCGGAAAGCCGGUCUCAGUUCGGAUUGGGGUCUGCAACUCGACCUCAUGAAGUCGGAGUCGCUAGUAAUCGCAGAUCAGCAACGCUGCGGUGAAUACGUUCCCGGGGCU
rnacentral:rRNA from 1 species